rnacentral:rRNA from 1 species
UACGGGGGGGGUAAGCGUUGUUCGGAAUUACUGGGCGUAAAGGGCUCGUAGGCGGCCAACUAAGUCAGACGUGAAAUCCCUCAGCUUAACUGGGGAACUGCGUCUGAUACUGGAUGGCUUGGAUUUGGGAGAGGGAUGCGGAAUUCCAGGUGUAGCGGUGAAAUGCGUAGAUAUCUGGAGGAACACCGGUGGCGAAGGCGGCAUCCUGGACCAAUAUUGACGCUGAGGAGCGAAAGCCAGGGGAGCAAACGGG